AUUGAACGCUGGCGGCAGGCCUAACACAUGCAAGUCGAGCGAGCGGCGGACGGGUGAGUAAUGUCUGGGAAACUGCCUGAUGUAGUGGGAUAACUACUGCAAACGGUAGCUAAUACCGCAUACCCUCAGAUUUGCCCAGAUGGGAUUAGCUGGUGGGGGGGGUAACGGCUCACCUAGGCGACGAUCCCUAGCUGGUCUGAGAGGAUGACCAGCCACACUGGAACUGAGACACGGUCCAGACUCCUACGGGAGGCAGCAGUGGGGAAUAUUGCACAAUGGGCGAAAGCCUGAUGCAGCCAUGCCGCGUGUGUGAAGAAGGCCUUCGGGUUGUAAAGCAAUUUCAGCGGGGAGGCGUUACCCGCAGAAGAAGCACCGGCUAACUCCGUGCCAGCAGCCGCGGUAAUUC
rnacentral:rRNA from 1 species